GCCGAUGUGGUGGAAUUGGUAGACACGCCAUCUUGAGGGGGUGGUGGGGAAACCCGUGCUGGUUCGACUCCAGUCAUCGGCACCA
rnacentral:tRNA from 1 species